AUCCGUGUGGCUCAAUUGGCAGAGAAACUGACUCUUAAUCAGAAGGUUGCGGGUUCAAGUCCCGCCACGGGUA
rnacentral:tRNA from 1 species